UUGUCUUUACUGACGUUUAGGCACGAAAGCGUGGGGAGCAAACAGGAUUAGAUACCCUGGUAGUCCACGCCGUAAACGAUGAGUACUAAGUGUCGGGUUAAACCGGUACUGAAGUUAACACAUUAAGUACUCCGCCUGAGUAGUACGUACGCAAGUAUGAAACUUAAAGGAAUUGACGGGACUCCGCACAAGCGGUGGAUCAUGUUGUUUAAUUCGAAGAUACCCGAAAAACCUUACCAGGUCUUGACAUGUUUUUGCAAAAUGAUAGUAAUAUCGUGGAGGUUACCAGAAACACAGGUGGUGCAUGGUUGUCGUCAGCUCGUGUCGUGAGAUGUUAGGUUAAGUCCUAAAACGAGCGAAACCCUUAUCGUUAGUUGCCAGCACGUUAUGGUGGGGACUUUAACGAGACUGCCAAUGAUAAAUUGGAGGAAGGUGAGGAUCACGUCAAAUCAGCAUGCCCCUUAUGACCUGGGCUACAAACGUGAUACAAUGGCUGUUACAAAGGGUAAACUGAAGA
rnacentral:rRNA from 2 species